CCAAAAGGCCUCGUGCUAGAUGGAUGCGGGUGUGCACAUAUAAGGCACAUCACCCCCUCUCCGUUGGUUGAUGUGGGAUCUUACAAUCCACCCCCUUUAAGUGUCCGACGUCCACGUCGGCUCACUCGCACCACACGGCAGAGUGGUGCUGAUACCAAAUUGUCACAUCCCGGGAUCAACUCCGUCGUAGCACGAUAUUGUCCGCUUUGGGCCCCCCUCUCUGCCCUCACGGUUUUGUUUCUGGGAACUCACAAGCAACUUCCCAGUGGGUCACCCAUCCUGGGAUUGCUCUAGCCCCCAACUCGCUUAACUUCGGAGUUCCUACGACUCCGAAGCCAGUGAGCUCCCAAAAGGCCUCGUGCUAGAUGAAUGCGGGUGUGCACAUAUGAGGCACAUCACCCCCUCUC
rnacentral:lncRNA from 1 species